rnacentral:rRNA from 1 species
GACGAACGCUGGCGGCGUGCUUAACACAUGCAAGUCGAACGCCGUGGCGAACGGGUGAGUAACGCGUGAUCAACCUGCCCUUCAGAGGGGGACAACAGUUGGAAACGACUGCUAAUACCGCAUACUGAAGUAGGGGAUUGCGUCUGAUUAGCUAGGUGGAGGGGUAACGGCCCACCACGGCGAGGAUCAGUAGCCGGUCCGAGAGGAUGAACGGCCACCUUGGGACUGAGACACGGCCCAGACUUCUACGGUAGGGAGCAGUGGGGAAGCUUCCGCAAUGGACGAAAGUCUGACGGAGCAACGCCGCGUGAGUGAGGACGGCCUUCGGGUUGUAAAGCUCUGUUAAUCGGGACGCGGUACCGGAAUAGAAAGCCACGGCUAACUACGUGCCAGCAGCCGCGGUAAUUC